AUUUCCUUAGUUCAAUUGGCAGAACAGAGGUCUUCAAAACUUUAUGUGGUGGUUCAAAUCCACUAGGGAAAA
rnacentral:tRNA from 1 species